AGGGUUCGAUUAUGGCUCAGGAUGAACGCUGGCGGCAUGCCUAAGACAUGCAAGUCGAACGAGGUGGCCUGUGGAAAAUGGAGUGCUUGCACGAAGCUGGAAGCAGAUUACCACCUAGUGGCAGACGGGUGAGUAACACGUGGGUGACCUACCUUAUUGUUGGGGAUAACAGUUGGAAACGAUUGCUAAUACCGAAUGAAAUAUGAGAGUCAAUUUUAUAUUGAAAGGAGCCUCUAAAGCUUCGCGAUAAGAUGGGCCUGCGGCGUAUUAACUAGUUGGUGAGAUAAUAGCCCACCAAGGUGACGAUGCGUAGCCGAACUGAGAGGUUGAUCGGCCACACUGGGACUGAGACACGGCCCAG
rnacentral:rRNA from 1 species